rnacentral:rRNA from 1 species
GUUGUAUAGUUAAGUAAGUAAGCGUACACGGUGGAUGCCUAGGCAAUCAGAGGCGAAGAAGGACGUGCUAAUCUGCGAAAAGCGUGGAGGAGUUGAUAAGAAGCGUUAACUCCACGAUAUCCGAAUGGGGAAACCCGGUAGAUGAAGAAUCUAUCAUCACUGUCUGAAUCUAUAGGAUAGUGAAGCGAACCAGGAGAACUGAAACAUCUCAGUACCCUGAGGAAAAGAAAUCAACCGAGAUUCUGCGAGUAGCGGCGAGCGAAAGUGGAGUAGCCGUUAGAGAUAGUAAAGGAUUUAGGAGAAUGAGUUGGGAAGCUCAAUCGAAGAGGGUGACAAUCCCGUAUCUGAAGAAUCCUUUAUGGUACUAAGCUAACAAGAAGUAGGGCGAGACACGAGGAAUCUUGUCUGAAGAAGGGGGGACCAUCCUCCAAGGCUAAAUACUCCUGAUUGACCGAUAGUGAACCAGUACCGUGAGGGAAAGGCGAAAAGAACCCCGGGAGGGGAGUGAAAGAGAACCUGAAACCGUGUACGUACAAGCAGUGGGAGC